UCUUCCCUGUACGAUCUCCAGCAGGACGCUACAAGUACGACUUUGCCGAAGCCAAACACGCCUGUGAACAGCAGGGCGCUUCCCUCGCCACCUACCACCAGCUGUACGAGGCCUGGCGGGACGGACUCGAGCACUGCGCGUGCGGGUGGCUGUCGGACCGCACUGAACGUUAUCCAAUGCAGACAAAGAAAGAUGGCUGCGGCAACCUCGUUGGUAUCAAAGUGUGUGGACGCGGCGUUGCGGACGCCUAGGUGCUUCCGCACACUGAGCAUCUGUGACUGAGGUACAGAUAUAGAUUCCAGAACAGUGCCUAUCUAGUUCUAGUUCUAAAUGGGUUAGCGUUGAGAUCAGGCGUGGUUCUGGAUAGUCUCUGCGUAUCGAAUAACGUCUACUAAAUUUGACCCAGGCAUGGUUCUGGAUACGCAGGGCCUGAGCAUGGUUCUAGAUAAAGCACGGUUCUGGAUACAACAACGGAUGAUGCCGACGACAACAGAACAGUAGUCUGGUAGGAUGUCGUUCUAGACCUAACAUUUUCAAAUAGUAGGUAGAGCCCUGCUUGCCGCUCAGAAACCAGUCUAUCUUUAAUAGGGGCAUGCAUGUCAGUUGCAGAGAAAGGGCAUUCACCAUUGCUUCAAAU